AUUAGUAGAGAAGCGUGUGAGCCAGCUGCCAAGAAAAGCCGCUAUUGUUUCAUAAGUACCCGUACCGUAAACCGACACAGGUGGAUGAGGAGAGAAUCCUAAGGCCGGCGGGAGAAGUGUUGUUAAGGAACUCGGCAAAAUGACUCCGUAACUUCGGGAGAAGGAGUGCCACAGAGAUGUGGCCGCAGAGAAAUGGCCCAAGCAACUGUUUAGCAAAAACACAGGUCUAUGCAAAACCGAAAGGUGAGGUAUAUGGGCUGACGCCUGCCCGGUGCUGGAAGGUUAAGAGGAGAGGUUAGAGCAAUCGAAGCUUUGAAUUUAAGCCCCAGUAAACGGCGGCCGUAACAAUAACGGUCCUAAGGUAGCGAAAUUCCUUGUCGGGUAAGUUCCGACACGCACGAAAGGCGUAAUGAUUUGGGCACUGUCUCAACAACACACCCGGUGAAAUUGAAAUACCAGUGAAGAUGCUGGUUACCUGCGCCAGGACGGAAAGACCCCAUGGAGCUUUACUCCAGUUUGAUACUGGGAUUCGGUACUGUCUGUACAGGAUAGGUGGGAGGCUAGGAAAUGGUGACGCCAGUUGCCAUGGAGCCAACCUUGGGAUACCACCCUUACAGUACUGGGUUUCUAACCUGCAGCCGUAACCCGGCUGGGGGACAAUGUCUGACGGGGAGUUUGACUGGGGCGGUCGCCUCCGAAAGAGUAUCGGAGGCGCUCAAAGGUUCCCUCAGAACGGUUGGAAACCGUUCGAAGAGUGCAAAGGCAGAAGGGAGCUUGACUGCGACACCGACGGGUGGAGCAGAUACGAAAGUAGGACUUAGUGAUCCGGUGGUAUAAAGUGGGAUUGCCAUCGCUCAACGGAUAAAAGCUACCCUGGGAUAACAGGCUUAUCACUCCCAAGAGUUCACAUCGACGGAGUGGUUUGGCACCUCGAUGUCGGCUCAUCGCAUCCUGGAGCUGUAGCAGGUUCCAAGGGUUGGGCUGUUCGCCCAUUAAAGCGGUACGCGAGCUGGGUUCAGAACGUCGUGAGACAGUUCGGUCCCUAUCCGGCGUGGGCGUAGGAUAUUUGAGAGGAGCUGUCCUUAGUACGAGAGGACCGGGAUGGACAAACCUCUGGUGUAUCUGUUGUUUUACCAAAGGCAUGGCAGAGUAGCCAAGUUUGGCAGGGAUAAACGCUGAAGGCAUCUAAGCGUGAAGCCCCCCUCAAGAUAAGAUAUCCCAUCUUCGGAGUAAGACCCCUUGAAGACUACAAGGUUGAUAGGCUUCAGGUGUAAGUGUGGUAACGCACUCAGCUGAGAAGUACUAAUAGGUCGAGGACUUACCAA
rnacentral:rRNA from 1 species